AUUGAACGCUGGCGGCAGGCCUAACACAUGCAAGUCGAACGAGCGGCGGACGGGUGAGUAAUGUUUGGGGAUCUGCCCUAUAGAGGGGGAUAACUACUGGAAACUGUAGCUAAUACCGCAUACUAUCGGAUGAACCCAUGUGGGAUUAGCUAGUAGGUGAGGUAAAGGCUCACCAAGGCGACGAUCUCUAGCUGGUCUGAGAGGAUGAGCAGCCACACUGGGAAGGAGACCAGGCCCAGACUCCGACGGGAGGCCGGAGUGGGGAAUAGUGCGAAAGGGGGGCAACCCUGGCGCAUCCAUGCCGGGUGAAUGAAGAAGGCCUUCGGGUUGUAAAGUUAUUUCGGUGGUGAGGCGUUAACUGCAGAAGAAGCACCGGCUAACUCCGUGCCAGCAGCCGCGGUAAUUC
rnacentral:rRNA from 1 species